GACGAACGCUGGCGGCGUGCCUAAUACAUGCAAGUCGAACGCAUUUUCUUUCACCGUAGCUUGCUACACCGAAAGAAAAUGAGUGGCGACCGGGUGAGUAACACGUGGGUAACCUGCCCAUCAGCGGGGGAUAACACUUGGAAACAGGUGCUAAUACCGCAUAAUUCCAUUUACUGCAUGGUAGAUGGUUGAAAGGCGCUUUUGCGUCACUUAUGGAUGGACUCGCGGUGCAUUAGCUAGUUGGUGGGGUCACGGCCUACCAAGGCUGCGAUGCAUAGCCGACCUGGGAGGGUGAUCGGCCAACCUGGGACUGGGACACGGCCCAGGCUCCUACGGGAGGCAGCAGUAGGGGAUCUUCGGAAAUUGACGCAAGUCUUGCCGAGCAACGCCGCGGUGGUGAAGAAGGUUUUCGGAUCGGAAAACUCUGUUGUUAGAAAAGAACAAGGAUGAGGGUGGAAAGUUCAUCUCUUGACGGUAUCUAACCAGAAAGCCACGGCUAACUACGUG
rnacentral:rRNA from 1 species